AGUAACACGUGAGUAACCUGCCCCAAGUGGGGGGACAACAGUUGGAAACGACUGCUAAUACCGCAUAAGCCCACGGAACCGCAUGGUUCAGAGGGAAAAGGAGCAAUUCGCUUUGGGAUGGACUCGCGUCCGAUUAGCUAGAUGGUGAGGUAACGGCCCACCAUGGCGACGAUCGGUAGCCGGACUGAGAGGUUGAUCGGCCACAUUGGGACUGAGACACGGCCCAG
rnacentral:rRNA from 1 species